CGUCGCUGGUGGGAGUACAAACUUGUAUAGACACUAUGGAAAUCAAUGUGAAAGUUCCCAGGAAGAUAAGACUCGAUCUACUUCAAGAUCUAGCUAUAGCACUCUUAGGCAUAUAUACAAAGGGGACUUCAUCCUAUCACAAGGACACUUGUUCACCCGGGUUCGUUGCUGCUUCAUUUAUAACAGGUAGAAAUUGAAAAGAGCUUAAAUGUCCAUCAACAGAUGAAUGGAUGAAGAAAAUGUGAUACAUUUUACAAUGAAAUAUUAUUCAACUGUUUAAAAAAUGAAAUUUUCAGGUAAAUAGAUACAGUUAGAAAAAAAAUCCUGAGUGAUAUAACCCACACACAGACAAAUAUGGUAGGAAUUGGGUUUAUAUGAAGAUGUUAGCUUAAACAUUUGAUAGGCAUUCCAUAAUACAGCUAGAGUAAGGGACUCCAUGGGAAGAAAGAAUUGCCUGAGUAAGAGGAAAUGGAAUACAGUUAUAGAGAUACAGAGGAGGAGACUAGAAUGGGAGGAUUAAACAGAGUGGGAGAGGAAAGAGUGGGAUAAGGGAGGAAAACUAGAGAUGGACAGCUAACACUAAAGGCCGUCUGAGAGGCCAUAUAUACAUCUACUGCAGUAGAAGCUUCAUAACACACACACACACAUACACACAUACACACACACACACACACACACACACACACACACACACACACACGGAAGCUAAAUGGAAUCACUAAAUAAGGAGAAGACAAAGCCUCAACUAGACAUCUCUUCCUACCAAAUGAAAUCUCCAGUGCCAGGAAUGAGUUACAUCUAAUUGAGUUGCUGGCCAAAGAUGUCUCAUGGAAACCCCCAAGCAACUCCAGCUAUAGUCAAGGCUAUUGAUUCCUCCCCAUAAACUUAAGGGCUUCUUCUUUGAUGAACAUCUUGCAGAGAUGUUAAUGUAAGAGCACUGAAGAGUCACUGUGUACACUGGGUCUGCUAUGGUUUUGAGACCAGACACUGAGAGAAAAUAUUUCUACAAUGAAUUAACUACUUUCUAGUUGCUUCUUGCCUGGUCACAGUGAUGAGAAAAUCAACCCAGCCAAUCAUCAGGCUUUGAUAUCUUUGAAUUUUUCAUUCACCAACUGCAACUAUCUCCUGAUAUUUAUGAGCUAUUCAAUUUUUCAUUUCUAGUAUUUCCACUUAUUCUCUUUUAUAAUUUCAAUUUAUCACUGGAAACGUACCAGACUUUACCUUUGUGCUUCUAGAGCCAUGAACCAAAGUAAGAACUCACAUA